CACACCGACAGACACACCGACAACACCGACCGGCACACCGACAGACACACCGACCCACCGGCACAGAGACCGGCACACCGACGGCCGCCAGAGCCCGCUGGCAGCGGCGCUAGCGAAAGCAUCUGGUUCUCCCCUGCUCCCCGGGGGGCACAGACCGCUGCCCACCCCCACCUUCCCGGGGGUCUGGGGUGCCCCCGCACCGCUGUGAUUAUCGCGGGGUUCUGCCCGCCCGCCCCGACACAAGCAACCCCCCCAAAAUCCCGCUCGGGGAAAGUGGCAGCACAGACGAGGGGGGCUGCUCCCCCCGGCCGGAGGGGGCAGUGGGUGCCCCCCAUCCGCCUCACCCCCCAACGGGAACCCCGACCCAGAGCAGGCGUUUGAGAGGAGAAAGUGCUCGCGCUUGUUUCCAGCAGGAUCCGAAAAUCAAAGCCCGCUAUCCCCAGGCUCCCUCGAGUCUUCUGUGCCCCCCAGGACACUCGUGUCCCGGCGUGGGGCACCCACGGGAGCCCCAGACGGAGGGGAAAAAUCCCCCAAAAGCCACGGGGAUGGGCAGCACAGUCCCCUCUUAGGGCCGGGCCUCUGAGUCGGGGUGGAUUUUUUGUUUUUCACUGCAUCUCGCAAUUCGCCCAGAUCCGUUCCCGGCCGGGUCCGAGCCCCCAGCCCCGGGCGGGACCGAGCCCACCCGUGCUCAGCAGGGAGCCGGCCGGGAUGUUCCAGAGCAACCUCGCUCGGCCUCGGUGAGGGACAUUAGAAGCGUACAAAAAGAAAGAAAGAGAAAAAGAGGGACAUCAGAAGAUGUUUUUAAAAGGAGAAAAUUAAAAAGUAAAAAAAAAAAAAAAAU